rnacentral:rRNA from 1 species
UACGAAGGGGGCUAGCGUUGUUCGGAUUUACUGGGCGUAAAGCGCACGUAGGCGGGGAUCUAAGUCAGGGGUGAAAUCCCGAGGCUCAACCUCGGAACUGCCUUUGAUACUGGGUUUCUUGAGUCCGGAAGAGGUGAGUGGAACUGCGAGUGUAGAGGUGAAAUUCGUAGAUAUUCGCAAGAACACCAGUGGCGAAGGCGGCUCACUGGUCCGGAACUGACGCUGAGGUGCGAAAGCGUGGGGAGCAAACAGG